UCAAGCCCAUCGUUACAGGGAAACCGCUGCCACCCGGUUGCACCUAAAUUUAAUUACUAUAGUAAUAUAUAUACCUAAUUAAAAUCAAAUUACCAAAUUUUAAAGGAUAAAUUUAUUAUUUUUUUGUAGUGUAACUUUCAUCGGCUGCUGGACAGACCACUUCUUGGUGAUUAACUCAAAUUCGUUUGAUUUUUUUUCUUCUUCAAUUAACAAUUUUCCUUAUUAUGCCCAAUUCCUCCA
rnacentral:lncRNA from 1 species